rnacentral:rRNA from 1 species
GCUAAAAACCUAGCUCAACUUCAUGUAAAUGCCACAACCAAAUAACCGCAAUUAAACAAAACAUUUUAAAUUUUUAGUAAAGGCGAUUGAAAAAUACUCAGGAGCUAUAAUAACAGUACCGCAAGGGAAAGGUGAAAUAAAAGUGAAAUAACUUUAAAGCAAAACUAAGCAGAGAUUUAACCUCGUACCUUUUGCAUCAUGGUCUAGCUAGUCCAACCAAGCAAAACGCAAUUAUAGUUUGACACCCCGAAACUAGGUGAGCUACUUCAAAACAGCCUUCAAGGGCCAACCCGUCUCUGUUGCAAAAGAGUGGGAAGAUUUUCAAGUAGAGGUGAUAGACCUACCGAACCUAGAGAUAGCUGGUUAUUCAGGAAAAGGAUCUAAGUCCUACCUUAAGUUUUCUCAUACUUCAUAAUAUCCCCACAAACUUAAGAGCUAUUCAAAUAAGGUACAGCCUAUUUGAAACAGGAAACAACCUUUAAUAUAGGGUAAUGACUUUUUUUAUGUGACCAAGUGGGCCUAAAAGCAGCCAACUUUUAAACAGCGUUAAAGCUUCAUCACUUCAUUUAACUAAUUACUAUAAUAUUACAAAACCCUUUACCACUACUGAAUGACUCCAUAACCCUAUGGAGAACACUAUGCUAGAACUAGUAACAAGAAGAAGACCUUCUCCAAAAUGUAAGUGUAAGCCAAAAUGAACCCCUCACUGGCACUUAUCGUCUAUGAACUAAUAGUAGUAACCGUACAAGAAAAACCUACUUAUUUAAACGUUAACCUUACACCAGAACAUUACCGGAAAGAUUAAAAAAAGAGGAAGGAACUCGGCAAAUUUUAACCCCGCCUGUUUACCAAAAACAUCGCCUCCUGAAAUAUUCAUAGGAGGUCCAGCCUGCCCAGUGACAAAGUUAAACGGCCGCGGUACCCUAACCGUGCGAAGGUAGCGCAAUCACUUGUUCUUUAAAUGAGGACUAGUAUGAAUGGCAUCACGAGGGUUAUACUGUCUCCCCCUUUUAAUCAGUGAAACUGAUCUUCCCGUGAAGAAGCGGGAAUAUACAUAUAAGACGAGAAGACCCCAUGGAGCUUAAAACUCAGUAUCAACUGCCCCUUAAUAUACCCAUUUAAUUAAGCAGAUAUGACCACUAGUUUUCGGUUGGGGUGACCGCGGAGCAAAACAAAACCUCCACGAUGAAAGGAAUUAACCUCCUAAUCUAAGAGCUACAUCUCUAAGAAUCAACAAAUUGACAUUUAUUGAUCCAAUUUUUUUGAUCAACGAACCAAGUUACCCUGGGGAUAACAGCGCAAUCCAUUUCAAGAGCCCCUAUCGACAAAUGGGUUUACGACCUCGAUGUUGGAUCAGGGUAUCCCAGUGGUGCAGCCGCUACUAAAGGUUCGUUUGUUCAACGAUUAAAACCCU